rnacentral:lncRNA from 1 species
UUUUAUUUCUCAAAGAUCUAAAUUCACAGAGAUCAUCACUCGCUUUAAAAAUCCCUCAAAAAUCCAAUACUGAUCCAAACGACACAAAAUCACCUCUCAAAAAUCUCUCGACAAGUCUGCUCUCUAACUUAGCUCUCCGAUCUCCCAAAAGAACCCUUGAGUUGCUGUCAGAGUGCGGUUUUAUGCCUCGGGGUCUGAUUUCGACCCAGGUUCAUAACCGGUCCUCUUCGGGUACCAACUUUCGUCUUCUUGAGGUAAUU